rnacentral:lncRNA from 13 species
ACAUAAGACCAGGACAACUGUCUUGGUGAAUGUUGCCCAGAUCCCUCUCUUUAUGAUGUCCUCUUUAUGAUGUCUCUUUAUGAUGUCCUUAUGAUGAUCCCAGUUCCACUGGGAUAACUCAGAUUGGUUCAGCCCAAAGUACCCCCAGAUACCUCAGUAACACAUAAAAUAUAACUUUGUCCCCUAAUGGGAAAGAAUAGGAGAUUUCUAUGCCAACCAGAAGAUGGAUGGAUAUCAAGACGGACAGUGGAAAAGUUAUGAGAAAGUGAUGAAACAGAGCAGCAGGAUCAAAACGAUGUCAGCAUCAAUACUUUCAGGAUGAGCAUCUGUGGCCUGAAGAACAUUCCAGAGACAACAGUGGAGCCUUCUUUGAAGAACUUCCGCAUUACCGACAUUCUUGAUGGCAUCCUCCACCAAGCCAUACUCUCAGAUUGCUUCUUUCAUCUGACAUUUUCAUGGAGUCCACCGUUAUUAAAAUUCCCCAACCAACCCUGGAGCUGUCAUUUGUUGACCGUAGUCAACAAAUCUAUUCUGUGCCAACAAAAGAACACUAGUCAUGGUGGUCCUAGGAAGAGUUUGUACAUUUUGCACCUGGCUUUAGCAAAAAUAAUGUCUGCUGGGCAGGCAGUUCCUUGAGAAGAUCCAGUAUACCCUGUCCUGACACAGAGUCAAGAGUUUUCAGGAAGAAAAUACAAAAUGCUAUUUCAGAGAAAGAAUGAGAUGGGCUGGUAUUCAGAGAGUCCAUUAACCUGGAGUAAGAGCAAAAUACACACACAAAAAAACAAAAUAAAACUCACAAAAUACACA